GCGCUUUAGAGAAGUGUCAUUGAAUUAUAGGUAUAAAUAUACCUCCCUAAAAUAUUCCCCCUUCCACGAUCUCUCAUCCACCAAACAUUCUCUCUGCCAUUUCAAACCCUCCCAAAUGCUCAUACUAAAUAAACUUGUGUACAAAACCGAAUAGGAUCUCUCAUCCACCAAACCCAUCCUUCUGAAUACUUUCCUAAAAUCCCCUUUGUCAUUGUUAUCGUUACCAUCAUAGAGAGAAAACUUCAAUCUUGAUAUCGAUGAUGGAACCCUAGAUUCUCUUGAUGUUUUCCCAACUUGGUCCUUCUGGUGGAAGAAGUUGUGGCUAUUCACGGAUGAGUACUUCUUGAUCCUCGAAUCCUUUCACUUUUUUUUUAGAUCCAAACAGCACUAUGUCAAGGGAGGAUUGAAAAUGGAUUGAUGGGUUUGAUUCAUUUGUUGGGUUUUUGGGGUUUGUGGAUUGGUGGUUGAGGUGGGAUCUUUUGGCACAUUCUAAGGUUUGUGUUGUUCUUGCUGUUCAUAUAUAGGGAUUUUAGGGUUUUGAGAUUGGGAUUUUGGAAGUUGAAUUGAUGAAUUAGGUGGAGGUUGUUGAAUGGGGGUUCAGACUAUGAGGUCUCAAGGUGGUGGUGGUGGUAUUGAUUCUCAUGAUGCACGGAUGGUUGAAGAUGGUGAUAAUGGGCAUGAAAAUGGGGAUAUUUCUAAUGUUGCAAAAUCUCAUGAUUCCUUUGACAGUAUCUCUACUGGAACUAAGGAUGGGAAUAUUGUGGAAGAGGUUGAUGAAUCAUCCUCUGUAUCAUCUUCUUUGAAAAGUCAAAAUUCCAGACAUGUAAGUGUUGUUGAUGGCUGGUCUACAAGAAAGUUCAGUUCUAAAAAGAGGCCAGAGAAAAAAAAAGACGCACAAAUUUUCUGGUUCCUCAUGUGAGAUGAAGCUUUUAAACUCUAUUGCACAGCUUGUAGAGCCUUUAGAAAGUUGCAAAUUUGCAAGAUUUUCUUUGCAGUAUACAGCAGUAGAAGAGAAGAGGUUGAAGAUGAGUGAUGCAAUGUUGUUUGCUUAUGAUAGAGAGCUUUACCAAUGUAAGCUAUUGCGCCAAUGGAGAAGAGGGCCCUUGAUAUUACUAGAUGUGGAGUCAUUGGAUAGGAAUUGCGGCACAUCUUGUACCGUAUAUGGAAUGCAUUAUGAUGGGAUUGUUUAUGAAGCUGUUGUCACAUGGAAUACGCUCAUAGAUUCUCACUGUAAGUCUGGGCACCACAAUAAAGCAGAGGAGUUGUUUGAGGCAAUGCAGAAUAGUGGUUGCUCUCCUUUCACUACAACAUAUAAUAUUAUGAUUAAUUCUUUUGGGGAGCAGGAGAGAUGGGAUGAUGUGAAGACUUUGUUGGGGAAGAUGCAGAUUUCUUGGGACGGCUGCCACUCACGCACAUGGGGACUCCACUCUCACGCACAGCCAUGGACAACCUCACCUAGGAGAUCUCCAUGCUGCAACACGGCUCCGGAAAAAGACCCACUUUCCAUGAGCUGCAACUUCAAAGAAGUCAUACAUAGCCCAGAUUCUUAUAUAAAUCUCCGACAACAUGCAGCAUAUAAAGCAUCAGAUUGGAAGGAUUAAAAGUGGUCUAACAGCAACCCCUCUUACACUAUGAAAGGUAAGUUCUCUUUUUAAAUUCUAGGUGAUGCAGUUUUUAUUUUGAAAUUUGUCUUGAUUUAUCUCAAUUUGUUUUAGUUAGUUAAUUUAUAAUUUUUUCAUUAUAACUCACUAUACUUCUACAUCUAUAAAUUGAAAUCUGACAACUUAAAAACCCUUUUAAAUUUUUCUAACUAUUCUAUGACAUUUUAGACUCCUUGAACUUGAUUUUUGAAUCUUUCUUGGGUCAAAUAUGGUUUUCCAAUUAGGAUAUUUAAAUCAAUUUUUCAGAAGGUUCAAUUUUCACUCUGUUUUUGACAUUCAGUAUUGUUUUACAAAAUUAAAUUACUAAACGGUCUCUUUAAUUUAUUUUAACAUUUUAUUUUAAUCUAGACUCCUUAAAUUUAAUUUUUGAUACAUAAAAUAUCAAUAAAUAAUUUCUGAAAUGAGAGAUAUAAUUUUUUCUUCUUGCACACACUGCACAAGUGCUCUUCUGAAUCUGAGAGAUGUUUAUUUAUUUUUAAAUAUGUUUUGAAUGUGAUAUUUCUCUGAGAUUAUUUUUCAUAUAAAAUAGACAUAUUAAUAUAGUUGUGUGAUUUUUUUUAUGAUUUUAAGACAUUUCUAAGUUAAUUAUAAAAAUCAAUUUUUGAAUGCCUUAAAAGAUGCUCUGUUUUGGACCUAUUAUCAUCGUUAUGUAAUCUGGUACUAAAUGAGGGCUGGUUAAUUAAUUUGGUCACUUAGAUGAUAAGCUAGACAUAUAGGAGAUGCUCUCUAAAAAUAGUCUUGAUAAAACUUAACUUCUAGGUAUUUGUUUUAGAUUUAUUUUUUACAGUCUUCUAUUCUAAUCAUUUGCUGACUUUUUUCUGUGAGGUAACCCCUUUGUGAAUAAAUUUGUUAUUGAUUGGAAUAUAAUCGAAUAAUUUGGCCUAUUGGAUGUUUAUCUAGACAUGUUAAAGAUGUUACCUAAUUUUUAUUUUGGUGAGAUAACAUUUCUUGAUAUUUAUUUGGAGUUUAUUUUGUGAACUGAUUUUCUACCCUUUUAAUAAUAUUUCCUUGGCUUUUGGUAAUUUAGUCACUUUUGAUCAUACUUGUGAACUUUCCUUGACUUUAGACAUUCUAAGUGUAUAUAUGUAGGUUUAGUUUAUUUAUUUAUUUAUUAUUAUUUAAUCUUAUCAUUAUUAUUGGUGAAUUAACCUCAUUUUUAUAGAAUCACUGACGCUUGCUACACAGGUACGCUCUCUAUCUUCCCAUUCUAAGUGUAUAUAUAUAUAUAUAGGUUUAGUUUUAUUUAUUUAUUAUUAUUUAAUCUUACCAUUAUUAUUGGUGAAUUAACCUCAUUUUUAUAGAAUCACUAGUGCUUGCUACACAGGUACGCUCUCUAUCUUCUCAUUUUAAAGUUCCAUGAAUAUGUUUGUCAUUAAGAACUCACUACUACAAAAAAUUAAAUUAAUAACACUUUAUUUCUUGAAGCUUGUAAAAAAUAUCAUUAUUUAUCUCUAAAAUUAAUAAUUAUUGAUGCUCACACAUUCUUGGCGCUUUACAAGGAGAAGCAAUGGCGUUUUUAAAUAAUGGCUCUUUUGUAUGGAUGUUGUAUUGAAGAAGACAGACGGAUUUUGGUUUAUGAAUGUAUAAAAAAUAAGAGCCUUGAUCAAGCUCUUUUUGGUGAGAAUGCUUAAAAUAUUUUGCAUCUUGCACUUUAUGUUUUUAUUUUUUAUUUUAUUUUAUUUACCACACCUAUACUAUGUUCUAAUAAAGAAUUCAAAUUAUAUUUCCAUUAACUUUAAAAUUUUGAUGUUUCUCUCUAUUUCUUAAUUUGGGGGUUGCAACAAUUAUUUGGCUUGUUUUAAUGAUGUAGGAGAUGAAUGGACCUUAAAAGAUUCAAAAUACUAACUUAAACUGUACCAACGGUAAUUUUGGCUUGGGAAUUUGAUAGUGUCAAUGAUUGAUUUUCCAUGUUUUCUUUCUAACUAUCUAGAAUUUUAAUUUUAGUUGAAUGUUAAUAGAAAUAUUAGACACUAUCACAUCUUAUCUCUCUUCUUCAUGUUUUCAUUUAUUAAUUAUAAUUUAUAAUUUUUCUUUUUUUAAUAUAUUUAUCUAUCUAUUUAUAGAUCACUCUUCUCUUCCCAACUUUGAAGAGAGAGAGAGAGAAAUAGUAAAGGAUAGCAAGGGAUAGAGUGUUCUACUCCACCAUCUAAGUAUGUGAUGAAAAGUUGCAAAGGAAAUUUAUUUGCUAAAAGAAGAGAAAUCAUUGUGUUAAAGAAGACGAAGUCAAAAACCAUGAAGAUUACAUCAGUGAACUCAUUAGGAGGUUGAACUAUGCUUUUAAAGAUUAUGGUUUAUUUUAGUAGUCUUGGUACCAAUGUUUGUUCUUAUGUUAGAAUUAGAAAUUCUUAUUGAAAUAUUUUGAUAUAAUUAACAAGUUUAUGUGUAA